AGAGUUUGAUCCUGGCUCAGGACGAACGCUGGCGGCGUGCUUAACACAUGCAAGUCGAGCGAUGAAGCUUCCUUCGGGAAGUGGAUUAGCGGCGGACGGGUGAGUAACACGUGGGUAACCUGCCUCAAAGUGGGGAUAGCCUUCCGAAAGGAAGAUUAAUACCGCAUAAUAUAAGAGAAUCGCAUGAUUUUCUUAUCAAAGAUUUAUUGCUUUGAGAUGGACCCGCGGCGCAUUAGCUAGUUGGUAAGGUAACGGCUUACCAAGGCAACGAUGCGUAGCCGACCUGAGAGGGUGAUCGGCCACAUUGGAACUGAGACACGGUCCAGACUCCUACGGGAGGCAGCAGUGGGAAUAUUGCGCAAUGGGGGAAACCCUGACGCAGCAACGCCGCGUGGGUGAUGAAGGUCUUCGGAUUGUAAAGCCCUGUUUUCUAGGACGAUAAUGACGGUACUAGAGGAGGAAGCCACGGCUAACUACGUGCCAGCAGCCGCGGUAAUACGUAGGUGGCGAGCGUUGUCCGGAUUUACUGGGCGUAAAGGGUGCGUAGGCGGAUGUUUAAGUGGGAUGUGAAAUCCCCGGGCUUAACCUGGGGGCUGCAUUCCAAACUGGAUAUCUAGAGUGCAGGAGAGGAAAGCGGAAUUCCUAGUGUAGCGGUGAAAUGCGUAGAGAUUAGGAAGAACACCAGUGGCGAAGGCGGCUUUCUGGACUGUAACUGACGCUGAGGCACGAAAGCGUGGGUAGCAAACAGGAUUAGAUACCCUGGUAGUCCACGCCGUAAACGAUGGAUACUAGGUGUAGGGGGUAUCAACUCCCCUGUGCCGCAGUUAACACAAUAAGUAUCCCGCCUGGGGAGUACGGUCGCAAGAUUAAAACUCAAAGGAAUUGACGGGGGCCCGCACAAGCAGCGGAGCAUGUGGUUUAAUUCGAAGCAACGCGAAGAACCUUACCUGGACUUGACAUCCCUUGCAUAGCCUAGAGAUAGGUGAAGCCUUCGGGGCAAGGAGACAGGUGGUGCAUGGUUGUCGUCAGCUCGUGUCGUGAGAUGUUAGGUUAAGUCCUGCAACGAGCGCAACCCUUGUUAUUAGUUGCUACCAUUAAGUUGAGCACUCUAAUGAGACUGCCUGGGUAACCAGGAGGAAGGUGGGGAUGACGUCAAAUCAUCAUGCCCCUUAUGUCCAGGGCUACACACGUGCUACAAUGGUAGGUACAAUAAGACGCAAGACCGUGAGGUGGAGCAAAACUUAUAAAACCUAUCUCAGUUCGGAUUGUAGGCUGCAACUCGCCUACAUGAAGCUGGAGUUGCUAGUAAUCGCGAAUCAGAAUGUCGCGGUGAAUACGUUCCCGGGCCUUGUACACACCGCCCGUCACACCAUGAGAGCUGGUAACACCCGAAGUCCGUGAGGUAACCGUAAGGAGCCAGCGGCCGAAGGUGGGAUUAGUGAUUGGGGUGAAGUCGUAACAAGGUAGCCGUAGGAGAACCUGCGGCUG
rnacentral:rRNA from 1 species